rnacentral:rRNA from 1 species
CCUACGGGCGGCAGCAGUCGAGAAUCAUUCACAAUGGGGGAAACCCUGAUGGUGCGACGCCGCGUGGGGGAAUGAAGGUCUUCGGAUUGUAAACCCCUGUCAUGUGGGAGCAAAUUAAAAAGAUAGUACCACAAGAGGAAGAGACGGCUAACUCUGUGCCAGCAGCCGCGGUAAUACAGAGGUCUCAAGCGUUGUUCGGAAUCACUGGGCGUAAAGCGUGCGUAGGCUGUUUCGUAAGUCGUGUGUGAAAGGCGCGGACUCAACCCGCGGACGGCACAUGAUACUGCGAGACUAGAGUAAUGGAGGGGGAACCGGAAUUCUCGGUGUAGCAGUGAAAUGCGUAGAUAUCGAGAGGAACACUCGUGGCGAAGGCGGGUUCCUGGACAUUAACUGACGCUGAGGCACGAAGGCCAGGGGAGCGAAAGGGAUUAGAUACCCCUGUAGUC